AUGCCAGCCACCAACGACAAGUGUUUCUUUCUAGAAGCUUUUAGGGUAAAGAUCGACGAAGGACGUCGUAACCGCAACAAUGGCGGUCUAGUGGUUGCUCACAGUAACGGAGGAGCCACUAUGGCAGGGCCAAUGGUCCAUGGUGCGACAGUGGUCGAACAGAGUCCGGCAGGUACUGGUGGCUGGGUUCGAGCGGGGGGCGAUCCUUGGGCAUCAGAUUUGGUUUGUGAGGUUCGCAAAAAUUGA